GUCUGGGCCUCUGCAAGAGUUUUCUGGGGCCCCUGGAGCGAGUGAAGGACCCCACUCCAGGGACCCUAAAAAACUCUCGUGGAGGCCACUGUAGGGCCCGG